rnacentral:lncRNA from 1 species
AUGCUCUCCUCUUCCACCACUGACCAGCCCCUCGUCCUUCCGGAGGACACACCGAGAAUACUCCGGGGUUACACCGAGAAUACUCCGGGGUUACACCGAGGCUACACCUGCACACCACGCGUUACCUCCGCCUUUGCCAAGGACACAAACGUGUUCCAUGUGGAGAGGGCUGUGCUGGGCACUGCUUCCCUUUCCCAUAGGAAAAACAUUUUCCAGGAUCCAGAGCUCCUUUUCCCACUUGUAGGCAGGUCCCAGCCAUACAGAAGGGAUGGGGAUUCCAGGGAAAUCAGGAAAACACCUCUGGGAGAAUUCCCAGGGCUCAGCAGGGGUGUCUGUGCAGUUGCUGCCUUUGCCUGCAGCUCUUCCUUGCUCCACUCCACUUCCAGGGGUCAUCAGGCAGGUUGGAUAAAGCCUCCUGCCCGUUUGCCCUCCCUGCAGCCCCAGGAGCUCCCAGGAACACCAGGCUCCAUCCUCUCCCCUUUCUCAGGUGCUGCUUUCAGUCCCCUCCUGAGACGUUUUCCAAGAUGUGGAGACCCCAGCAAUGAACAGCUUUGCUGGAAUUCCUCUGGAAAUGAGGAGCUUUCCCAGCAUCCAGCAGGUGCCAGCUCAGGAUAAACCCAGAGGAUGCUGAAUAAAGGAUCAUUUCUGUGGUGGUUAAAGGUGAUU